rnacentral:rRNA from 1 species
GAUGAACGCUGGCGGCGUGCCUAACACAUGCAAGUCGAGCGGGAUUCAUGAGGAUGAAACUUCGGUCUAGAAAUCAUGAUGAGAGCGGCGGACGGGUGAGUAACGCGUAGGCAACCUGCCCUUAGCACAGGGAUAGCCUCGGGAAACCGGGAUUAAAACCUGAUAAUGCCAAACAGUCACAUGGCUGUUUGGCCAAAGAUUUAUCGGCUAAGGAUGGGCCUGCGUCUGAUUAGUUAGUUGGUGGGGUAACGGCCUACCAAGACGACGAUCAGUAGCCGACCUGAGAGGGUGAUCGGCCACAUUGGAACUGAGACACGGUCCAAACUCCUACGGGAGGCAGCAGUGGGGAAUAUUGCACAAUGGGCGAAAGCCUGAUGCAGCAACGCCGCGUGAGCGAUGAAGGCCUUUGGGUCGUAAAGCUCUGUCCUAGGGGACGAACAAAAUGACGGUACCCUUGGAGGAAGCCCCGGCUAACUACGCGCCAGCCGCCGCGGUAACAC